CUCGUAGGCGGUUUGUUAAGUCAGAUGUGAAAUCCCCGGGCUCAACCUGGGAACUGCAUCUGAUACUGGCAAGCUUGAGUCUCGUAGAGGGGGGUAGAAUUCCAGGUGUAGCGGUGAAAUGCGUAGAGAUCUGGAGGAAUACCGGUGGCGAAGGCGGCCCCCUGGACGAAGACUGACGCUCAGGUGCGAAAGCGUGGGAGCAAACA
rnacentral:rRNA from 1 species